GACGAACGCUGGCGGCGUGCUUAACACAUGCAAGUCGAACGGAAAGGCCCUGCUUUUGUGGGGUGCUCGAGUGGCGAACGGGUGAGUAACACGUGAGUAACCUGCCCUUGACUUUGGGAUAACUUCAGGAAACUGGGGCUAAUACCGGAUAGGAGCUCCUGCUGCAUGGUGGGGGUUGGAAAGUUUCGGCGGUUGGGGAUGGACUCGCGGCUUAUCAGCUUGUUGGUGGGGUAGUGGCUUACCAAGGCUUUGACGGGUAGCCGGCCUGAGAGGGUGACCGGCCACAUUGGGACUGAGAUACGGCCCAGACUCCUACGGGAGGCAGCAGUGGGGAAUAUUGCACAAUGGGCGGAAGCCGGAUGCAGCAACGCCGCGUGCGGGAUUACGGCCUUCGGGUUUUAAACCGCUUUCGCCUGUGACGAAGCGUGAGUGACGGUAAUGGGUAAAGAAGCACCGGCUAACUACGUG
rnacentral:rRNA from 1 species